AAUGAACGUUGGCGGCGUGGAUUAGGCAUGCAAGUCGAACGCGUGUAGCAAUACACGAGUGGCGAAAGGGACAGUAAUACGUAGAUACGUACCCUCCGGCCUGGGAUAGUCCGCCGAAAGACGGGGUAAUACCAGAUAACGUCUCCGGACCAAAGGUGUGAUUCCACCGGUGGAGCGGUCUGCGUCCUAUUAGCUUGUUGGUGGGGUAACGGCCUACCAAGGCGAUGAUGGGUAGCGGGGGUGAGCGCACGACCCGCGUCACUGGGACUGAGACACUGCCCAGACUCCUACGGGAGGCAGCAGUGGGGAAUUUUGGACAAUGGGGGCAACCCUGAUCCAGCAAUGCCGCGUGCAGGAAGAAGGCCUUCGGGUUGUAAACUGCUUUUGUACGGAACGAAACGGUCUGGGUUAAUACCCUGGGCUAAUGACGGUACCGUAAGAAUAAGCACCGGCUAACUACGUGCCAGCCGCCGCAGUAA
rnacentral:rRNA from 1 species